rnacentral:rRNA from 1 species
GACGAACGCUGGCGGCGUGCUUAACACAUGCCAGUCGAACGGAAAGGCCCUGCUUUUGUGGGGUGCUCGAGUGGCGAACGGGUGAGUAACACGUGAGUAACCUGCCCUUGACUUUGGGAUAACUUCAGGAAACUGGGGCUAAUACCGGAUAGGAGCUCCUGCUGCAUGGUGGGGGUUGGAAAGUUUCGGCGGUUGGGGAUGGACUCGCGGCUUAUCAGCUUGUUGGUGGGGUAGUGGCUUACCAAGGCUUUGACGGGUAGCCGGCCUGAGAGGGUGACCGGCCACAUUGGGACUGAGAUACGGCCCAGACUCCAACGGGAGGCAGCAGUGGGGAAUAUUGCAAAAUGGGCGGAAGCCUGAUGCAGCAACGCCGCGUGCGGGAUGACGGCCUUCGGGUUGUAAACCGCUUUCGCCUGUGACGAAGCGUGAGUGACGGUAAUGGGUAAAGAAGCACCGGCUAACUACGUG